CUAUAUGCAGCAUGCAGGAUCUCCUCUGUACUUCGGCGGCAGAGAGUCCCGACAGGAGAUGGAAAAGCAUCCAGUGUUUGGAACAGGAGGGAAAGGUGUGAAAACAGCUUCAUUACCCGGUUCAGCUCAAGUGUGAAGGAUAUAAAGUGAAAUGGAAAGAGAAAAAUAGAGAAGCAGAGAGAGGUGAACUUACAUCCUGUGAAGGUGUUUUUCAUACCUUCCAGUUACCCACUGCUCCAUCCAAUCCAUUUACGUGACAGGGACGGGUUCAGUUUCAUUUGGGAC